GGAGAGGUCGCAUAGUGGUCUAGUGCGCUCGCCUCGAAAGCGAGUGAGGGUGCAAGCUCUCCGUGGGUUCAAAUCCCACCCUCUCCGCCA
rnacentral:tRNA from 1 species